GAUGAACGCUGGCGGCGUGCCUAAUACAUGCAAGUCGAGCGAACAGACGAGGAGCUUGCUCCUCUGACGUUAGCGGCGGACGGGUGAGUAACACGUGGAUAACCUACCUAUAAGACUGGGAUAACUUCGGGAAACCGGAGCUAAUACCGGAUAAUAUAUUGAACCGCAUGGUUCAAUAGUGAAAGACGGUCUUGCUGUCACUUAUAGAUGGAUCCGCGCCGCAUUAGCUAGUUGGUAAGGUAACGGCUUACCAAGGCAACGAUGCGUAGCCGACCUGAGAGGGUGAUCGGCCACACUGGAACUGAGACACGGUCCAGACUCCUACGGGAGGCAGCAGUAGGGAAUCUUCCGCAAUGGGCGAAAGCCUGACGGAGCAACGCCGCGUGAGUGAUGAAGGUCCUCGGAUCGUAAAACCCUGUUAUUAGGGAAGAACAAAUGUGUAAGUAACUAUGCACGUCUUGACGGUACCUAAUCAGAAAGCCACGGCUAACUACGUG
rnacentral:rRNA from 1 species